rnacentral:rRNA from 1 species
UACGUAGGGUGCGAGCGUUAAUCGGAAUUACUGGGCGUAAAGCGUGCGCAGGCGGUUCGUUGUGUCGGCGGUGAAAGCCCCGGGCUCAACCUGGGAAUGGCCGUUGAAACUGGCGAACUGGAGUGUGGCAGAGGGGGGGUGGAAUUCCGCGUGUAGCAGUGAAAUGCGUAGAGAUGCGGAGGAACACCAGUGGCGAAGGCGGCCCGCUGGGCAGUGGCUGACGCUGAGGCGCGACAGCGUGGGGGAGCAAACAGG